AAAGGACAGGGCUGGAUGAUCAUGGUGAGUGGAAGGGCCUUUGUGUGGCACUUCUCCAUGACAACAUUCCAAAAUCUUAACUUUGAGCAUCAAAUAGUACAAAUAGCCAAGUGCCUCCAAACAGCUGGACAUUCCUUCACCCAAGUGGUGAGGCAAAAGUUAAAGUGCUUUAAAAAACUUCCAACACAUUCUGAAAUGAUUAGAUAGGACAUCUGCUCACACUCAAGUGAAGUUUAAGAGCAGACUUUUCAGCUCCAGUUAUUGAACAGGAAGUCAAGUAAGACACUUGUAUAUUUACUUUCUAUUGAUCCAUUUACUUUAGAUUGAUCCUAAAGGAUCAAUGGAUGUUCUGAUAAGCUUAUGAGCCUUAUUUCUCCACAAGAAAGAACACCUUAUUAAUCACUCUAGAAGACAGGAAAAUACAACCAUACUAUCACAUUUUUGCUUGCCAAAGUACACUGUCCCAUAGCAACUGUCUGAAAAUUACUAAAGAGUUUGGGCACCAAGGGAACAAAAACUGAACUAAGGAACAACAGACUAUUAAAUGAUACCCAUCCAUUUAAAUUUCAGCCUCUGUGGUGAAAUGAGAAGUCAACAGCAUAUUCCAAAAAGGUGU